UACAGAGGUCUCAAGCGUUGUUCGGAUCCAUUGGGCGUAAAGGGUGCGUAGGCGGCGCGGCAAGUCGGGUGUGAAAUCUCGGGGCUUAACUCCGAAACUGCAUUCGAUACUGCCGUGCUUGAGGACUGGAGAGGAGACUGGAAUUUACGGUGUAGCGGUGAAAUGCGUAGAUAUCGUAAGGAAGACCAGUGGCGAAGGCGGGUCUCUGGACAGUUCCUGACGCUGAGGCACGAAGGUCAGGGGAGCAAACGGG
rnacentral:rRNA from 1 species